rnacentral:misc_RNA from 1 species
AAGUCGUAACAAGGUUUCCGUAGGUGAACCUGCGGAAGGAUCAUUAACACGUAUCCAAACGUUAAAACCCCCCCCGUGAACCUUCAUCCUGCUCUUGUAACCCGCGUAGUUCGCAAUCUCUGAUAAAUCAUAGCCCGGAAAGUUGUAGUGAUUCAGAGACCUCUGGCUACGUGAGAACAUUGGAACAGUUACAAUCGAGCGGUAGUUUCAUAGGCAUUGUUUCCCCAAGCAGUCAGUGUCUGAAAGUGUCACCGAUUGUGCAAGGAUACAGUUUAAUGUGAAGCUCAAUGUAAUACAUUGGGUACAAAAACCGAACAACUGUUAACAAUGGAUAUCUUGGUUCUC